rnacentral:tRNA from 1 species
AACAAAAUAGUUUAAUGAAAAAAUAUUGGGUUUGCGUCUCAAAGAUGGAUUGUGGUUCUGUUGUUA